AUUGAACGCUGGCGGCAUGCCUUACACAUGCAAGUCGAACGGCAGCGGACCUUCGGGUGCCGGCGAGUGGCGAACGGGUGAGUAAUGCAUCGGAACGUGCCAUUGAGUGGGGGAUAACGUAGCGAAAGUUACGCUAAUACCGCAUAUUCUGUGAGCAGGAAAGCAGGGGACCGCAAGGCCUUGCGCUCUUUGAGCGGCCGAUGUCAGAUUAGCUAGUUGGUGAGGUAAAGGCUUACCAAGGCGACGAUCUGUAGCGGGUCUGAGAGGAUGAUCCGCCACACUGGAACUGAGACACGGUCCAGACUCCUACGGGAGGCAGCAGUGGGGAAUUUUCGACAAUGGGCGCAAGCCUGAUCCAGCCAUGCCGCGUGAGUGAAGAAGGCCUUCGGGUUGGUUAAAGACUCUUUCGGUCCGGGAACGGAAAUACGC
rnacentral:rRNA from 1 species